rnacentral:lncRNA from 1 species
AGUCAGGAUCUGAGGAAGUUCCAGUUUUUGUGAGAGAUCUUGAAUGUAAACUCUACCCCUCCCAACCAGUUUUCCCCUCAGCUCCUCCUCUCCCCUCCCUCUCUGCUCCAGAAAGCCCCGCCUACAAACAGACGCUCCUGCUCGCUCGUAUCGUUCCAAUUAAAUUCAGAUAUAAUGCAGAUAAAUACUUCAGAUAAUUACAAAUGGGGCCCUGUCAAGGUGAAAGUAAAAAGCAUUGGUGCUACUGUAGAUGCCAACAGACUACCAGCAAACACAAUGUUUGCAGGACUUCUACAACUAGGAUAAAGUGACAUAGUCCAGGACCCGAGGUCAACAGUUUAGUGGCGCUGCAACAUGCAGCAGGUCCCGUUUGACAAGAAACACUUCUAUUACACUUGGCUUACUUUGUUAAAGCGGUUUACCUGUCCAGCAGAAAGGUUACAGGGUCCGUAAGAUCCCGAAGCCUACCCCAUCAUUGUUGACCCGGCUUCUUAGCUCUUGUCCGGUCUACCUCCGUUUCAACCUACCUCCGGUAUUUACUUCAGGCAGUCGUGGCCAAAGAAGGAUUCAGACAAGUUUCCGAACUUUCUGGUUGGUUUCUACUGUCCGAUAUUGUACCACGCUAACUUUGUUUGGGCUCCUGAACGACACAGGGGAGCAGCGUCCUUCCCACUUUGUGCUAUUUCAGCCGUUCAACUUUUAAACUAUUCCUCUCCUUCAGGACAUGUGCGGAUGUAUUUUUCACUUUUCUACCCUUUGUACUUUUUGAUAUUUUUUACUUUUUGUGCAAAUUUUUUUCCCAUUGAAAUGAAUGGGGAAAUCUUCAAAUUCUACCUUUUACACUUCUACCUUCUCAGUCUUAUAACUUCAGCAUACUCUCACCUACAGACCUCAUCUUUGCUUUAAAAUGUUCAAUCUUCUCCUCUAAAUAUGUUGUAUUAACUUUUUUGUGCUAUCUUCUACAGUUUUACCACAAUUUAGCUUUGAGCACCUCAUGGUUUUCAGCAAAUUUUCAGGCUUUACAAUGGGUGUGUAUUGGAGAAGAUAGAGCUGAUGAUGUCAUCGCUAGAGUGGAGAGACCUUUUUUGAUCGACAAAACCUCGCUCGAAUAUAUCACUCCCACGCCCACAAAUUUCACUCCACAGCCAUAAAAAAUACAUCAAAACGGAGGAAGAUAAGUCCUGCUUCUCACAAAAGAGGUUUCAAAUCAUUAAAUCGUACCCCUUGGCCAGCAGGUGACCAACUGUCCAAAAAUGGCAGAGGUUCCUCCCAUUGACCGUAAUGUAAUCUUUCUCCAAGAAAAUCCUGAUCAUCACUGAGGGUUGAAUCUGUUUAACUCGCUGUUGUGGCCACAUUUUUUAGAGUGCAGACAUGAAAAACACAUCAUUGUAUUCUUUAGGACUUCAGGACUCCUACGAUGUUCUAAUUUUCAUUCUGGGAUUUAAGUAAAUCGCGCUAUGUGAAGAAGUAUGGGGCUCUAAAUUCACUGCAGUUAGGCCUUUGCAGUUGGUCCUUUGAUCUGUUUAGAAUGCAUUGAUAAACAGACACACACACACACACACACACACACACACUCUGACAAUGUGUGUGCGUUAGUCUCUCUCUAUGACACCAGUCCUUGUCUUCCCCUCUGUCUCAGUAAUAACAAGAAAAAAAAAAGAAAUAAAUUCUCACUUUGUUCAAGAGUCGUGUCAGGGCAUUUUCUUCAAUCAGGUAAUACGCUCCUCCUCUAAGAUUUGCCAAGACAUACUUUAACCUGUCCCUCCCUGAUAUAAAAGUGAAAGUUUACUUAACGACAGCAGCGCUGCCGUCAGGACGAGUCCAUUUGCUCCUCUGUAAAGACAUAUUCAUCAGGAGAAUAAACCAUCAACAACCGGUGAGUACUCUGCUUAAAAACACUAACUUCUGAACGGUAUUUUGUUAAACUUGACCACAAAACAGUUUCAAAAACCAAACUACAGUGACUGUACUCAGGCUGGUCUAAACUCUACAAAGUGCUAAUGUUGAGCUAUUUCACAGACUUUUGUCAUCCUGUUUCAGUCAUGAAGUUUUGAUGCUUUCAAAUCUCACUGAUUGAGUUUGUUGGGCACAUUCACAGAUAAGUCAGCAGGUAUAUUCAGCCUUCACACAGAAAACACCAGAUUAACUCAUUCAGCUACUUACAAACCAGCCGAGCUCUCUGCUGUUGGAAAACGCCCGCUGGUUUCAUGAGUUCAGAAAGUGACGUAACCAGAAUUCUUGUUCAUGUUUCAACUUGAAGCUUUUUUAUAUAUCAGAGUUCCUGCUGUUUGACUUUAUAACAAGAAUUGUUGUUCCUGUUUUAACAAGAUGGAUGGGUGUGUCUGACACCAAACUCAAAGUCGGCUUAUUUCCUGUUCAAAAUUAACGAACAGUAAAAUUCUCCCUUAGUGCCAAGAUAUAUGAGUCAUCUCAACCUGCCAACCUGAGGACGUCUCCUAACUGGUUGACUGGCUCACAGUCUUUAGAUGCGAUCACUCUGUGACUUUAAAUCUUCAUCAGAUAUUGAACUUUUUAACAGCUGGAGGUUUUCUUGACUUUCAGGAUCAUUAGUGUGUCCAAGUCCACUGACACACAGAGUAUUGUGAUCAAAGUUUGACCUUCUUUCUUGUUACAUUGUUAGAGGAUGCUGUAGACUUUCAGGUGAGGUCAGAGUUCAGAUGAGUCAAAGUCUCCAGGAUUUUAAAAAUAUUGUUCUGCUUUUUCCAAAAACACUCUGCAGUCUUUCCUUUUUCCAGAUUUAGGCCAGAAUUUAACUGAAAGUCACCAAAUUAUUCAUGACAGUAUCACGAUGAUGAUGACAAGGAUAGACUCAAAAAUAGAUCUACAGUAUAUGUUUAGUGUUUUAAUGUGUUGAUCUUCCACUGAUAAUCCUCAGGUUGUAAAAAUGUCUGCUGCCAGCUGUCUGCUGACUGAAGAUCAGUUCCGGUGCUCCAUCUGUCUGGAUGUCUUCACUGAUCCUGUCACCAUACCAUGUGGACACAACUUCUGUAAAUCCUGCAUCUCUCAACACUGGAAUGUCAGUGUUCCACAUCGGUGUCCAAACUGUAAAGAGGUUUUCUUCAGAAGACCAGAGCUGAAGAGCAACACCUUAAUCUCUGAGAUUUCCGCUCAGUUCAGACAGUCAGCUCAUCAGGAAGCCAGCAGCAGCAGCUCAAAGGAACGAGUUUCCAAACCAAGAGAAGUUCCCUGUGAUUUCUGCACUGGAACCAAACUGAAGGCCCUCAAGUCCUGCCUGGUGUGUCUGGCCUCCUACUGUGAGACUCACCUGGAGCCUCACCUGACAAUGUCAGGUCUGAAGAGACAUCAGCUGAUGGAGCCUGUGGAAAACCUGGAAGGAAGAAUAUGUGAGAAACACGACAAACUGCUGGAGCUGUUCUGUAAGAACGACCAGAUGUGUGUCUGCGUGCUCUGCAGUGUUAAAGACCACAGGACCCAUGAUGUUGUUCCUCUGAGAGAAGAAUAUAAAGGAAAGAAGGCCGAGCUGGGGAAGACAGAGGCUGAAAUUCAGCAGAUGAUCCUGCAGAGACGACUGAAGAUUGAAGAGCUCAAAGAGUCAGUGGAGCUCAGUAAUCAGAAUGCAGACAGAGAGAUGGCUGAAGGUGUGGAGGUCUUCACGGCUCUGAAAGAACCUGUAGAGAGAAGCCAGGCCGAGUUCAUCCACACCAUCAAAGAGAAGCAGAGAGAGACGGAGGAACAGGCUGAAGGCUUCAUCACAGAGCUGCAACAGGAAAUCUGGGAGCUGGAGAAGAGGAGCUCUGAGCUGGAGCAGCUCUCACACUCUGAAGACCACCUCCACCUCCUCCAAAACUUCACCACCCUGAACGCUGCUCCACCCACCAAGAACUGGACUGAAGUCCGAGUCCACCCACCUUCAUAUGAGGGGACUGUGGUGAGAGCUGUGGACCAGCUGGAGAAGAUGCUCAGGAAACUGAAGAAGAAGCUGAUUGAGGCCGAGCUGAAGAGAGUCCAGCAGUGUGAGGUGGAUGUGACACUCGAUCCUGAUACAGCACAUCCAGCUCUCAUCCUGUCUGAUGAUGGAAAACAAGUUUAUUGUGGUGAUGUGAAGAAGAGUCUACCAAACAAUCCAGAGAGAUUCAGUAAAUACAUUAUGGUCUUAGCAAAGCAGAGUUUGUCUUCAGGCAGAUUUUACUUUGAGGUUCAGGUUAAAGGGAAGACUGACUGGACUUUAGGAGUAGUUAGAGAGUCCAUCAACAGGAAGGGAAAAAACUCUCUGUCUCCUCAGAAAGGUUUCUGGACAAUUUGGUUGAGAAAUGAAAAUGAGUACACAGCUCUUGAUGACCCUCCUGUCAAUCUCUGUCUGCAGUCUGUUCCUGAGAAGGUGGGGGUGUUUGUGGACUAUGAAAAGGGUCUGGUCUCCUUUUAUGACGUUGAUGCUGCAGCUCUGAUCUACUCCUUCACCGGCUGCUCCUCUAAAGAAAAACUCUUUCCAUUCUUAAGUCCCUGCGACAACUAUGGUGAUAAAAACUCUGCUCCUCUGAUCAUCUCUCCGGUCAAUCACACUGAGUAGAUGUUCUGAACAACGAUAACCAUCAUUAAUAGAAUAAAUCUACAUUAUUAUGAUGUUUUUACUUUAAAAUUCACAUCAGUAUGGAUACCAACAAUUUAAGUCCAUCUUUUUUUAAAUAUGCAGCAUUACUUCUUACUUCACUAAACCAAUGUUACAGUUUUGAUCAGUUUAAUCAAGUGUUAUUUUAUCAGUGUUCAGAACUUCUUUACCUUCACACCAGACUGUUAAAUCAGCUCAAAUCCUACUCAUCAUUCUUUAUUCUCAUCUUUAAAGUCUCUCUGCUGAGUUUAAGACCUCAUCUUUCUCUGAUCGUACCAGCAAAUGUCACUAAUGUCAAAGGGCUCUAUUUUCAUGUACGCCGGCGAGGCGACGGAGGGUGGCGGACCCCGCGCAGUUGUAUUUUUGUCUGGCGGAGCCCGGCAUAAAGCCAGUUUGGUAUUUUCGUGGACUGAGGCACACGGAGGCGAACCGAGGUCCGCCAAGCUGGGCGUGGUGGGGUGGCAGGGGGAGGUGUCGACAGAAUCAGCGGGCGCAGUGACAUUUUCGUGCUCGCCAGUGUCGUGUAAAGUGCACUGAAAGCUCGCCGAUUCAAACCUGGUCAGCUUUCAGUGCAGGCGGAGCGCAGCUGGUCUAGUGGUAAUUUGGUAGACCAGCGGCGUAUCGGCAUACGUCACCAAUGCCUCACCGACAGGUUUCCACAGUGUCAGGCACAUUUCAGUGCAAUAAAUAAUAAUCAACAACUAAUAAUCUGAGUCAGCACAUACAUCUAGAUCUAUAUAGAUAUAUUCUGAUCUAUAUCUGAUCUGAUGAGCGCAUUUGGCACGCGUUUGGACACACAACCUGACCGAAUCAACACAGCUGAAACCGCAUUUAAUUGAAUUAAAUAUCUAGUAAAUAGACACACAUGAUGAAGUUAACUAGAUAUGUAAUUCGUCUCCCUCCUUUUCUUUCUUCCUCUUCCUCUUAUUUUCGCGCAGCUCGACCUGGACAUGUCUCCAUGUCCUCUCUCCGUCUUGCUGCAGCGGCGGCUGAACAGAUGAUUUGUUUCAGUGCUCGGAUGCGUUAUCUACUUCAAGCCGACAUACGGAUAUUAUAAUAUUCAGUUUUGAGAGCCAAAUUUAUUUUAUAUGCCAACAUCUAUGAACGAAAGAGCCAGGCCACGGAGCGCGAUGCGUCAUUUAAUUUUAAUUUUAUUUUAAUUUUAAUGCCAUUUUUGGAGUUUAUGUUGUGAUCUGUGCGCACAACCCACCUUUGUCACGUGAGGUUUGAAUAUACGCAACUUUAUGUAAGUGUCUUAAUUAGUGGAAAAGGGUGUUUUUCUUACCCGUGGGUCCAACAUUACACACACCAAAUCCAUCUGUGCUCAUAUGAGAGAGUGUGGAGGAUACCCAAUGCAGCGCUUACAGUGACACUUGUUGAGCUGCUGCCCUUUGUCACCAUCGUGUGGCAUUACUAUCUUCAGACAUCUCUUGAUCUCUCUGACUACUUCACAAAAAUAGUAAUAUGCCUCGCCGGUGGCGGAUUUAAAGGCCAGGAGAGGAGCUUAUGUGAUUGGUGAAAACUGGUCUCGGCUGUUAAAUCCAUUCCACGCCCUCUCUCCUCCCUUGCAACGAUUUAAGCCGCUGGGAGGAGCUGAGUUAGGGAGGGGGGAUACUUACGCCGGGCUGCGCUGCUCACAAAAAUACCAAAUUGUGCUUGGGAACGCCUUGUUGGCGCAGCGGACCUGACUUAUGCCGCACCUGCGGCACGUCUCUGGCGAGGCACGAAAAUAGAGCCCAAAGAGUAUUUGUCAGAUAUGUCAAUAAUAAACAACUAAACUAACAGUCUGCUUUCUGUUCCAGUUAUUGCAGCGACAAUAACCACGGAUGAAUGAAUGAAUGGAUGAUUGUAAAAUUGACCACACCAGUCCAUCCAAAUAAAUCAGUAAAUGAGAAUUCUGGGUCUUUGGCGACUCAGUGGUCUAAAACAUUAAAACAUAUCGUAUAUCUGCAAUUGAGAACACAGAUCUAAUGGCCGAAAAGGCAAAAACACAUAAAUCAUGACUUUUUGGAUCAGCGACCGUCUGUGUGAGAUCAGAAAAAGUUUAAGUCUCUCUGUAAGUCUCUUCUCAGUCUGCCUUCAUCAAUGACUCCUCUUGUGAACAGACAUGUAAUAAACUGACUUCACAUCAUUCAUGUCUGAUUUUAAUGGUUGUACCAAGAAUGAGUUAUCACUUUAUAACUGUUUUUCUUGAUAAUAAUAUCUGGAAUUACAUUACAGGGCUGUACUGUGGUGAUAAAAUAGCAAGGCUUCAAGUGUUGUGACCUACUGAUGACAAGAACCUGUACUGACCCUGAAAAACAGAUAUCCAUAAACCCUUACUAAUUUGAGACACUUCCAUAAAAAAAUGCAAAUGAUGUUUUUGUUCAUUAACAAGAACAAAUAAAAGUAAAAACGUUGAUGUUUCAGCAUGUUAGUUCUCUAUUAUGUCGAUAUCAGAGUUAAUAACAGGAUUGUUCAAAACUGGACAAAAUCUAAAUAAACCAUCACAUCAUCAAAUUAAUAUUUAGUAGUCCUGCUGUUAGCAUGCAGUCGAGCUUGAACCCUGAUUGGUAUAUUCUCCACCAGCCUUUCACAUUGUUGAGGGGUAACCCUGUCUCAUUCUUGAAUCACUUCCUUUAAUUCUUCCAGUUUCUUUGGUGUAAGCUUUAAAACUAUAAACUGUUUAUAGAAUGGACGCUGUCUGCCUCCUCGCUGGGUGAAGCCACCGCGAGAACAGCGACCUCUGGUGACGGGCUGCAGUAUAGGUCAUAAAUCCCUCCUCCUCCAGCAAUCCCUAUGGAGCUGUGGACAAACUUUAGAAAUUAAUUACACAGAAUAUAAAUGUUUCUCCCCCCUGGUUGUGAUGUUGACAUGUAGUUACAGUAAGACUGGUUUGUGCUCAAGUCCGUUUUUUUCUGUACAGCUCCGUUUUUAAAAGUUAUUAGGGGGUUCAUGUUUUCUUUGAUUGACACUUGAUACAGCCUAUGGGCGUAUGAAGAUUAUGUAGCUCAUCCGCGGCAUAUGCUGUUUGAGCAGAGCGUCAUCACAGCGACUCUCCCACUGAAUGCGUACAACGCUACUGCACAAGUGGUGGUUCCAGGAAGUGGAGAAUAUCCCGGAAAUACCGAGAGCAAUUCGGCUUCAAAUUCAUAUGAUGGCUGAAGGCGAAGCCAAGUUGUCCAUAGUAUAUACAGUCUAUGUUUGAAAUGGACUUCUUGAUAAACCAAAUCCACAGAUUUGGGAAUCACCUAGCAUCCAGUUUCAACCUGGACAGACCUGUGCACGUGCAGGAGGGAGCAUGUGGGUUUCAAGAACGCCACAAAACUUUGCAGAGUUCAGUGUACCAUCACAGACAGUGAGAUGUCCAACACCAGCAGCACUCGCACAUCCCCAAACCAGGAUACCACCUCCACUAUGCUUGACGGUAGCUACUGUACAUGUUGGAGAUAAUGCUUCACCUAACCUUCUGCGUACACUCACAUUAACAGAAGGAGGAUUAAACUGGAAACUGGACUCAUCCCACCAAAGAAUCUUCUACUAGUUCCUGGCUGUCCAGUUUUUGUGUGCUUGGUCUCUCACUGAUCAGGGGCUUCUUGACAGCUUUGCCGGACCUCAAGCCAUGAUCUAGGAGUCGGCCAUGUACAGUGCAGGUGGAACACUGGACACUGGUUUGGUUAGACCACUGCUGCUGAAGCGCGUGUGAUGUCAUUUGGUGGUUUUCCCUGCACAGGAUCAGGACCAGGAUGCAGUAAUUUCUUCAAACAUGCUGACUUUACAUCGACACAAAGGACAACAACAAAACUGUGUCUACAAUAAAAGGCAUGACUAGAGUCAUUAGUGAUCAGUGGUACCAAAAUGACUCAAUAUUCAAAAUCUCUUACAUAUUUCUAUUAACUUAAUCAAUAUGAUGUUUUUACUGGCUUUUAUGAUUGGACUAGUGUUUUGGUUGAGAUUGUACAAGGCCUUGGACGAUAAUCAAUAAAUCAAUUAACCGCACGAUAAGUGAAAAGGAACUCAAUAAUUUUUCCGGCCUUGAUAUAUCGCCAUGUGCACGCGUGUAUUUGUUUUCCUCGUCUUGCGCCUCCAAACACGCUGGAUGACACGAUGGUUCACUCUGUGCAUCGGUGUCAGCACCUGGGCGCGUUUGUGCCUUAGCGGAAUCUAAUGAAGAGAGUGAACCAUCUUGUCAGUCUUUCAGGAUCUUUGUAUCUGAUGGGGGAGAUGCCGCAGAUCCGCAAGCGCACAAGACAGAGUAGACUAGUUAGCCACGUGAGGGGCAUGGAAGAGCAAAGCCAAAGGCCACAGCCCCGGUGUGGGAAUAUUUCGGCUUCAAGCCCAAUGAGCAAGGUGGGAUCAUCAACAUAGACGAACCAGUAUGCCAACUUUGUUUAAAAAUGGUAGCAACAAAAUAAGGCAACACCACAAACUUGCAUGCCCACCUCAAACACUAUCACCUGGUCGAGUUUUCCCAGCUGGGAAAAAAAAAAACCCAAGAUGCAGAACCGUCGGCCCGACAGUCAACGCUUACUGAAGCGUUUGGUUGAUAAAGCAAGAUACAGUCAGAACAGCGCAAAAUGUUGUGCGCUCACAGAAAGUGUUGUUCACUACAUUGCCAAAGAAAUGCUGCCAUUUAAUACAGUUGAAAAGCCAGCAUUUUAUUGUUGUUCGUUUGUUUUAUUUAUUUAGGAUAUUUAAAAGUUUUCGUUCUGGACAGUCCAAUGAGAAAUGAAGGUUUGAUUGUUGCAUCUGAAAGGGUGUACUUGCAUUAUGAUAUAUUAACAUUACACAAGUGGUUAUAUUGGUCUAGAUAAUGUCAACAAUGAUAUUGUUUAUCGUCAAUAAUUUGUGGGCCAAUUUAUCGUCCAGCAAAAUUUGUUAUCGUCCCAGGCCUGGAUUGUACGAAAAGAAAUUGCACUUGGAGACUGAAAAGUGAUUCCUCAUGCAAUAUAUCACAAACACACGAGGCAUCCAAAAACUUUUCUCCACAAUCGUUGAGUAAAGGUUGGUGUUGGUGGUGUUGGUGGUCCCUCAUACCAACAGGAAUCACAAACUUCACAAGUGAACAAAGGCCAGCUUUCAUUUACUUGUAGUUUCAUAUUUCUAAUAUCGACUAUGGAAAUGUGGAAGAAAACUCAUCGACUUCCAUGCACCACAGCCCUAAACAGCACAACAUAAUUCUCUUGAAUGUAACCUACUUGGGAUAUUGUGUUUGUAAUUUUCUCACAUUUUUAAAAAAUACAGAAGCAGACAUGCGUCCAUACGUUGCAAUUUACUCCAUUUUCACACAUUAACAAGUUAACUUAAGUUGUUAUCAGGCUUUUGAAAUUGUUGAUUUUUGCUAAUAAACUUUUUGGCACGUCUGAAAUCCAUCUCUAGGGAGGGUUAUUUCAUGAUAGGUUCUUGUUAGUUUAGUUUUUUUGUCACCCUGUGUGUUAUUAGUCCUUGUCUUCCCCUCUGUCUCGGUAAUAACAAGAAAAAACAAGAAAUAAAUUCUCACUUUUUUCAAGAGUCGUGUCAGGGCAUUUUCUUCAAUCAGGUUAUACACUCCUCCUCCUAGAUUUGCAAAGACAUACUUUAACCUGUCCCUCCCUGAGAUAAAAGUGAAAGUUUACUUAACCACAGCAGCGCUGCCGUCAGGACGAGUCUGUUUGCUCCUCUGUAAAGACAAAUUCAUCAGGAGAAUAAACCAUCAACAACCGGUGAGUACACUGCUUUAAAAAGCAGAAAAAACACAAACUAACUUGUCAACAGUAUUUUGUUAAACUUGACCACAAAGCUGCUUCAAAAACCAAACUACAGUGACUGUCCUCAGGCUGGUCUAAACUCCACAAAGUGCUAAUGUUGAGCUAUUUCACAGACUUUUAUCAUCCUUUUUCAGUCAUGAAGUUUUGAUGCUUUCAAAUCUCACUGAUUGAGUUUGUUGGGCACAUUCACAGAUAAGUCAGCAGGUAUAUUCAGCCAUCACACAGAAAACACCAGAUUAACUGGUUCAGCUACUUACAUUCCAACCUGAUGGAUGGGUGUGUCUGACACCAAACUCAAAGGUGGCAUAUUUCCUGUUCAAAAUUAACGAACAAUAAAAUUCUCCCUUAGUGCCAAGAUACAUGAGUCAUCACAACCUGCCAACCUGAGGACGUCUCCUAACUGGUUGACUGGCUCACAGUCUUUAGAUGCGAUCACUCUGUGACUUUAAAUCUUCAUCAGAUAUUGAACUUUUUAACAGCUGGAGGUUUUCUUGACUUUCAGGAUCAUUAGUGUGUCCAAGUCCACUGACACACAGAGUAUUGUGAUCAAAGUUUGACCUUCUUUCUUGUUACAUUGUUAGAGGAUGCUGUAGACUUUCAGGUGAGGUCAGAGUUCAGAUGAGUCAAAGUCUCCAGGAUUUUAAAAAUAUUGUUCUGCUCUUUCCAAAAACACUCUGCAGUCUUUCCUUUUUCCAGAUUUAGGCCAGAAUUUAACUGAAAGUCACCAAAUUAUUCAUGACAGUAUCACGAUGAUGAUGACAAGGAUAGACUCAAAAAUAGAUCUACAGUAUAUGUUUAGUGUUUUAAUGUGUUGAUCUUCCACUGAUAAUCCUCAGGUUGUAAAAAUGUCUGCUGCCAGCUGUCUGCUGACUGAAGAUCAGUUCCUGUGCUCCAUCUGUCUGGAUGUCUUCACUGAUCCUGUCACCAUACCAUGUGGACACAACUUCUGUAAAUCCUGCAUCUCUCAACACUGGAAGACUAACACCUCCUGUCAGUGUCCAAACUGUAAAAGGGUUUUCAACCCAAAACCUGAGCUACACGUCAACACCUUCAUCUCUGAGAUGUCCGCUCAGUUCAGACAGUCAGCUCAUCAGGAAGCCAGCAGCAGCAGCUCAAAGGAACAAGUUUCCAAACCAGCAGAAGUUCCCUGUGAUGUCUGCACUGGAACCAAACUGAAGGCCCUCAAGUCCUGCCUGGUGUGUCUGGCCUCCUACUGUGAGACUCACCUGGAGCCUCACCUGACAAUGUCAGGUCUGAAAAGACAUCAGCUGAUGGAGCCUGUGGAGAACCUGGAAGGAAGGAUAUGUGAGAAGCACGACAAACUGCUGGAGCUGUUCUGUAAGAGCGACCAGAUGUGUGUCUGCGUGCUCUGCAGUGUUACAGACCACAGGACCCAUGAUGUUGUUCCUCUGAGAGAAGAAUAUGAAGGAAAGAAGGUCGAGCUGGGGAAGACAGAGGCUGAAAUUCAGCAGAUGAUCCAGGAGAGACGACUGAAGAUUGAAGAGCUCAAAGAGUCAGUGGAGCUCAGUAAUAAGAAUGCAGACAGAGAGAUGGCUGAAGGUGUGGAGGUCUUCACGGCUCUGAAAGAAUCUGUAGAGAGAAGCCAGGCCGAGUUCAUCCACACCAUCAAAGAGAAGCAGAGAGAGACGGAGGAACAGGCUGAAGGCUUCAUCACAGAGCUGCAACAGGAAAUCUGGGAGCUGGAGAAGAGGAGCUCUGAGCUGGAACAGCUCUCACGCUCUGAAGACCACCUCCACCUCCUCCAAAACUUCACCACCCUGAACGCUGCUCCACCCACCAAGAACUGGACUGAAGUCCGAGUCCAUCCACCUUCAUAUGAGGGGACUGUGGUGAGAGCUGUGGACCAGCUGGAGGAGACGCUCAGGAAACUGAAGAAGAAGCUGUUUGAGGCCGAGCUGAAGAGAGUCCAGCAGUGUGAGGUGGAUGUGACACUCGAUCCUGAUACAGCACAUCCUGAUCUCAUCCUGUCUGAUGAUGGAAAACAAGUUUAUUGUGGUGAUGAAGAGAAGAAUCUACCAGACAAUCCAGAGAGAUUUGAUCGUUGUGUUAAUGUUUUAUCAAAGCAGAGUUUGUCUUCAGGCAGAUUUUACUUUGAGGUUCAGGUUAAAGGGAAGACUGAGUGGGAUUUAGGAGUAGUUAGAGAGUCCAUCAACAGGAAGGGAGACAUCACCCUGACUCCUGAGGAUGGUUUCUGGACGAUUGUGUUGAGAAAUAAAAAUGAGUACGAAGCUUGUGCUAGCCCUUCAGUCCGUCUCUCUCUUCAGUCUGCUCCUGAGAAGGUGGGGGUGUUUGUGGACUAUGAGGAGGGUCUGGUCUCCUUUUAUGACGUUGAUGCUGCAGCUCUGAUCUACUCCUUCACCGGCUGCUCCUUCAAAGAAAAACUCUUUCCAUACUUUAGUCCCUUUCUAAACGAUGGUGGUAAAAACUCUGCUCCUCUGAUCAUCUCUCCGGUCAAUCACACUGAGUAGAUGUUCUGAACAACAAUAACCAUCAUUAAUAUAAUAAAUCUACAUUAUUAUGAUGUUUUUACUUUAAAAUCCACAUCAGUAUGGAAACCAACAAUUGAAGUCCAUCUUUUUUUAAAUAUGCAGCAUUACUUCUUACUUCACUAAACCAAUGUUACAGUUUUGAUCAGUUUAAUCAAGUGUUAUUUUAUCAGUGUUCAGAACUUCUUUACCUUCACACCAGACUGUUAAAUCAGCUCAAAUCGUACUCAUCAUUCUUUAUUCUCAUCUUUAAAGUCUCUCUGCUGAGUUUAAGACCUCAUCUUUCUCUGAUCGUACCAGCAAAUGUCACUAAUGUCAAAGUGUAUUUGUCAGAUAUGUCAAUAAUAAACAACUAAACUAAGAGUCUUCUUCCUGUUUCAGUUGUUGCAGCGACAAUAACCACGGAUGAAUGAAUGGAUGAUUGUAAAAUUGACCACACCAGUCCAUCCAAAUAAAUCAGUAAAUAGGAAUUCUGGGUCUUUGGAGCCUCAGUGGUCUCAAGGCCUCAAGUGUUGUGACCUACUGAUGAUCAGAACCUGUUCUGACCCUGAAAAACAGAUAUCCAUAAACCCUUACUGAUUUGAGACACUUCCAUAAAGGAUUCUUGUCAGCCUCUUUUCAUGAUGAAUUAACAUCUAAACAAAUACUUUAAUUCAGUUUCCUGUCCGUUCACUUAUCUCCCUGCUUUCAGUUGUUUCAUCUUUUGCCAUUAUUUACUGACAACAUGUGAAAGAUAUCACUGGUUUAUUUCUAUAUGAAUAAUCUUACUGAUAAUAUUGAUUGAAGUGUAUUGGAAGUGAUAUAAUCAUGAUUAAAUGUGCUCACUUCAAAACAUCAACAGUCUCUGUGGCCCUGAGACUCUCCAGCAGACUGUUCCACAAACGGGGACCAUAGAAACUGAAAGCCGCCUCCUCGUGAGUUUUUGCAAACUUUGUAAGAUUUCUGAGGUUUUGUUUUCCCACUUCAAGCCUCCAGUUUACUCCCUCUGUUCCUGUUUUUUUCCUUUUAUAGACGGCCCCAGAGUGAGACGGUGAAGUCGAGUUUCAACUGCAAGAAUCUCCCCAGACGGAUGAGAGACGGAUGAGACAUAAGAACAAGCUGAAGCUGAACUCAACUUCACACACUUGAGACGAUACAAAGACUCAAACCGCUUCAGUCUAGAGGGUCAGAGGUCAGGUCAGAAAAACACCCCAAAAUCAAAACGCUGUGAACUUCGAGAUGACCUGAGAGGGCUGUAUCUACUUUGUCCACUAGAUGGCGUGCUAGAGCUGAAAAUAAUUUGCUCAGAUAAGAAUAACAGGAACCUUUAGAGUUUAUUUUAAUCUGUUUUAGGACCAAAUCAGAGGUUUUCUUGGACAUUCAGAUCUUUAAUAGUACAUGGUUACUGCACAAGAAUUAUCACACUGUUGAUUCUCACUGAGGGAUUUAUGAGCAUAGGUGUCCAUGUUCAUGUUUUCUGUGGACCAUUUCUUCUAUUUAUUAAAUCAAGUUUGGCUACAAGUAAUAAUGUGAUGUUUAAGUUUAUGUAAACGUUCAUACUUUCCUUAAAUCUACCACAGAUGUUUAGCUCGAGUAAACGGCGUGUUACAUAAAUGAUUUAAUUAUUCAUGGAGCACAGGAUGUUCUUCUUUUCUCAGUUUCUGUCUGGAAAUUAAAAUGUCUAUUUGAGUUAAAAGCUGUGUGAGGAAAGUAAAAACAUCUGAUUUAAGACCGAUUUAGAAAAAGCAAGCAAAAACAAACUUCUCAAAAAUUGAAAUGAGAUUAAUCUUGAUCACAUAACCGAAAUAAUUUCAACAUAUCCGAGGUUUUUUGGUGUUUCUCGUGGAGUUUAUCCGGAUCGAUGACUCCCCCAUCAUCCACCUCCCCCGCCUUCUUUAACCCUCUUGUUAUUAAUCUUUUUAAUCAUAUCAGCAUUUCUGUGAGAUUUUACCUUUUCAAGCAUUUUAAUAAUAUUACAGACCAUGAACUUAUUGUCCCCUUUUAAAGCUGUUAAAUAAUAUGUAUUAUUCUUUUACCUUUUCACAUACUAUUUUUAACAUGUAACAGAUGAGAAUAUAGUACUUUCAACUUGUCACACUUAGCUCUUGUCCGGUCUACCUCCGUUUUAAGCGCCCGUUAUUCCUCCAGAGUCUCCGAUAUUUACUGUGUUUUCUUGCUUGUGUCGGCAGUCGUGGCUAAGGGAGGAUUCACGCAAGUUUCUGUACUUUCUGGUUGGUUUCUACUGUCCGAUAUUGUAUCACGCUAACUUUGUUUGGGCUCAUGAACGACACGAAAAGUCAAUAUUUACAAAAAUGAAAGGUAGUUUUAUGAAUAAUGAUAAAAAUAGUUAAAUACUAAUUUAUAAAACACAACAGAUAUAGAGCAUUUUCUUUUCUUUUUCUCUUUUUUUGGCUGGAACUUUUAUUUUUUGGUCACAACUAAACAGCUCAAAAAUCUCCUCUCUCUUUUCUCUCACUCCUCUCUCUCUUUUCCUCUCCACUCCUCUGUUAUAUGUAGUGCCUUAUUAAUUUGAGUUCAUUCUUUAAGUUGUUUGAUUCUGUGAUAGCUCUUAUUUUUCUUGUUGAUGAUGUAAGAUCACCUCAUAAUCUCAGGAAUGUAAUUUUUGGGUCAAAGUUUUCAAAUAUCCCGCAGUUAAGGCAGACCUUGAACGCC